ensembl:piRNA 21ur-8269 ncRNA
UUUCACCUUAACUUUAGACCU